UGGAAGGGGCAUGGGGAGAGAUUGGUAAUUCCUUCAUCUUUGUAAUGUGAAAAUGAUGGCUCUAUUUGGGAAGAUUCUAUCUAGCAGUUCUUUUCGGUGUUUAGGAAUCCUUACCAGAGAUCCAGAAAGAACAUCGCAAUCUGCUUCAAGAAUUAAAAGUUAUUCAAGAAAAUGAACAUGCUCUUCAAAAAGAUGCACUUAGUAUUAAGUUGAAACUUGAACAAAUAGAUGGUCACAUUGCUGAACAUAAUUCUAAAAUAAAAUAUUGGCACAAAGAGAUUUCAAAAAUAUCAUUGCAUCCUAUAGAAGAUAAUCCUAUUGAAGAGAUUUCAGUUCUAAGCCCAGAGGAUCUUGAAGCAAUCAAGAAUCCAGAUUCUAUAACAAAUCAAAUUGCACUUUUGGAAGCCCGGUGUCAUGAAAUGAAACCAAACCUUGGUGCCAUUGCAGAGUAUAAAAAGAAGGAAGAAUUGUAUUUGCAACGGGUAGCAGAAUUGGACAAAAUUACUUAUGAAAGAGACAAUUUUAGACAGGCAUAUGAAGAUCUUCGGAAACAAAGGCUUAAUGAAUUUAUGGCAGGUUUUUAUAUAAUAACAAAUAAAUUAAAGGAAAAUUACCAAAUGCU
rnacentral:sRNA from 1 species